AACGAACGCUGGCGGCAUGCCUAACACAUGCAAGUCGAACGAGACCUUCGGGUCUAUUGGCGCACGGGUGCGUAACGCGUGGGAACCUGCCCUUAGGUUCGGAAUAACUCCCCGCAAGGGGUGCUAAUACCGGAUAAUGUCUUCGGCCCAAAGAUUUAUCGCCUUUGGAUGGGCCCGCGUUGGAUUAGCUAGUUGGUAGGGUAAAAGCCUACCAAGGCGACGAUCCAUAGCUGGUCUGAGAGGAUGAUCAGCCACACUGGGACUGGGACACGGCCCAGACUCCUACGGGAGGCAGGAGUGGUGAAUAUUGGACAACGGGCGAGAGCCUGAGCCAGCAAGGCCGCGUGAGUGAGGAAGGCCUUAGGGUUGUAAAGCUCUUUUAACCGGGAUGAUAAUGACAGUACCGGGAGAAUAAGCGCCGGCUAACUCCGUG
rnacentral:rRNA from 1 species